GAAGUGAUUGGUCCUGACAUUGCUAUCAAUUUUAAUUAAAUUUACACAUGCAAGUUUCAGCAUUCCUGUGAAAUUUCCUAGAUCAUCCUUUUUGGUGAUUAUGAAGCGAUAUCAGGCACAAAAUGAAAAUUUGGCCCAUAACAUCGUGCUUAGCCACACCCCCAAGGGAAUUCAGCAGUGAUAAAUCUUAAGCAAUGAGCGAAAGCUUGACUUAGUUAUAAUUUUUAGAGCCGGUAAAACUCGUGCCAGCCACCGCGGUUAUACGAGCGACUCAAAUUGAUAGUCAUCGGCGUAGAGCGUGAUUAAAGAAUAUUUCAACUAAAGUAAAAGUAACCCAAAACUGUUAUACGUUUUCGGGUAUAAGAAAAACUUCACGAAAGUAACUUUAAAUAUCUUGAAUACACGAGAACUGUGGAACAAACUGGGAUUAGAUACCCCACUAUGCGCAGUCUUAAACCUUAAUAUANAUUACACAAAUUAUAUUCGCCAGGGAACUACGAGCGUAAGCUUAAAACCCAAAGGACUUGGCGGUGCUUUACUCCCACCUAGAGGAGCCUGUUCUAUAACCGAUAACCCUCGUUAAACCUUACUUUCUCUUGUUCUUCCCGCCUAUAUACCGCCGUCGUCAGCUUACCCUGUGAGGGAAGUAAAGUAAGCAAAAUUGAUAUAAUCAAAAACGUCAGGUCGAGGUGUAGCAUAUGAGAAAGAAAGAAAUGGGCUACAUUUCCUGUUUAAGGAUAUACGGAAAUGCUAUGAAAUAUUAGUAAUCAAGGAGGAUUUAGCAGUAAACAAGAAAUAGAGUGUCUUGUUGAAGCCGGCCCUGAAGCGCGCACACACCGCCCGUCACUCUCCCCAAACGACUAUUACAUAUACCUAAUACAAACUUAUGUUAAAGGGGAGGCAAGUCGUAACAUGGUAAGUAUACCGGAAGGUGUACUUGGUUAAAU
rnacentral:ncRNA from 1 species